AGGUAGCCAAGAUAACCCUGCUAAAGAAGCCAUAACCAACGGGGUGAAUAUUAGAGUUGUUCACAGAAAUAUUUCUGGUUCUGACUGGACUCACAGUAGGGCUGCAAUUCUCUACUCCCUAAAAGUUAAUACCCAGGAUGUCAGCAUUCUCCUUUCACUAGGCCACUUGCUCUCAACUGGGAUGUUAAAACUCAGGAUGCAGCAAUCAGCAACGAAGUGUGUUAUAAAUUACAACUAAAGGCUAGUGCAGACACGUUUCCAUGGUGAUAGCAAGGGGCAAGAGAAGUCACGUGGCAACACACAAGGACUUCGGAGGCACAGACUUGAAGUUGGCCUGCUACCACUUCCGCACCAUUCCUGGCUAAGAAGGCAUGAGACCAGCGCACCACUCAAGAAACAGAGAACGGGACUCUAUCUU